UUUGAUGUUGCUCUUGGCUUGUGAUGUGCAGGUGUAGGAUGCGGCGUGGCGGUCGACGGCGUGCGGUGAAGGUCAAGCGAAAGGUUCAUGCCGAUGGACCAAGGGCGGUGAAGGAUGAACGCAAGUAGGCUUGGACCGAUGGACCCGAGGAAUUCGGGCGAAGUCAUGGGCGGUCCACAUGGUGCACGGAAUGGCAAGAGGGCAUGACAGGAUGGAGACGGCGUCGGUUGAGUCAAGCGGGAGGCUUGGCAGAGGCCGGACACGCGUCAAUGGACGGUUUGGGUGGUUUGGGCCUCAAAACCACCGCGCAGGCAGAUUUCCCGGUUUGGGCCUCAAAACCGGGGGCGAGCCCGGUGCGGCUGGAGCUUCGAGAAGGAGGGCACGUGGCGUCAUCGCGAAGCUUGCGUCGAGGCGAAGGAAAGUCGUGAAGGCGGCGUGUCCGUCCGAUGCGCGGAUAAAAACUUGGACCAAAAUGCCCCUGUGUGGGUAGUUAUCUUAGUUGUAGCUGUUGGGUAGUAUAGUCUUUCGUCUUGGACUAUAAAUAGGGAUGGGGGGCUGGUUAUUUGAGCACCUCUUUGCUUAGCAACUCAUUAUCUAUUUGCUUGAGGCUAGUCAUGUGCUUAAAGUGAGAGGAGAGAGGGGGAUUAGGGAGUGAUUACUCUUUUCUCUCGAUUUCUUCAUCUUUAGUGGGUGGAAGAAGGGAGGAGGCUAGUCCUCAUUUUGUAUAGAAGAUGUUCUCGUGAUUUAGCUUUGUUUGUUGUCUCAAAUCGUGCUAAAUCUUUGAUUCCCGAGCGUUUUUCCUUUCCCUAUUUUUGGAGCUAUUUUUAGGGACUUUUCGUUCAUCAUGGUUGAGCCCGAAUCUCAUGGUUUUGGUUGAAGAGAAAUGUUGCUAGGACUUUAGGGAGCAUCUUUGACAUGAUCCCCUUCAAAUCUCACAUGGAUUCGGCUGGAUUUUGAGUUUUUCCCAAAUCGUGUUCUUCGUGUAGGGUUUCAGUUUUUCUCAAAAUCCGCGAUGAAUACUUGAGCUUUUUGAGAGUUGUCUCAUGGAUCUAUUUGCCCUUGGGGUAUUGCAUCCUUGUCUCAAGUUUCGUGUCGAAUCGUGGAGUAUUGAGAAAGGAAUUUUGAAUUGAAGUCUGGCCGGCGUUCUUCGUGUUCUUGAUUUUUCGUUCUCCGUUCAUGUGCGCAGGUGCUUCAAGCGUCAAGGGGAGCAGCAAGCGAAUCGGACCAGCACGUGAGGGAGCAGCAGGCCGGCUCGGUGCAUCGUGGCCCAGCAGCUCAAGGCAGGCCAACAACAGCAUCGUCGCAGGCCGCGGCCCAGGAGGAUUCAACCGGUAGGCAGCCCGGGCAGCGGAUCUGUUGCAGCUCAGUUGCGCCAUCAAGCAGGCCCAACACCAGGCAUGUGGACCAACGCAGGCAGCAGCAGCUUUCCACGCACGGCCCAAGCAAGGAACUUGGCCUAAGCAACCGUCCAACAAAUCGCGAGCUCCGAGGCAGAUUCACACGCACAGGCC
rnacentral:lncRNA from 1 species